rnacentral:rRNA from 1 species
AGCGAACGCUGGAGGCAGGCUUAACACAUGCAAGUCGAACGGUCCUUCGGGAUAGUGGCGGACGGGUGAGUAACACGUGGGAACGUACCCUUAGGUUCGGAACAAAACAGGGAAACUUGUGCUAAUACCGGAUAAGCCCUUCGGGGGAAAGAUUUAUCGCCUUUGGAGCGGCCCGCGUCUGAUUAGCUUGUUGGUGAGGUAAUGGCGCACCAAGGCUACGAACAGUAGCUGGUCUGAGAGGAUGGCAAGCCACACUGGGACUGAGACACGGCCCAGACUCCUACGGGAGGCAGCAGUGGGGAAUCUUGCGCAAUGGGCGAAAGCCUGACGCAGCCAUGCCGCGUGGAUGAUGGAGGUCUUAGGAUUGUAAAAUCCUUUCACCGGGGACGAUAAUGACUGUACCCGGAGAAGAAGCCCCGGCUAACUUCGUGCCAGCCGCCGCCGUAA